rnacentral:rRNA from 1 species
AUUGAACGCUGGCGGCAGGCCUAACACAUGCAAGUCGAGCGGAGCGGCGGACGGGUGAGUAAUGCCUAGGAAUCUGACUGGUCGUGGGGGAUAACGUCAGGAACCGGGAGCUCAUAACGCAUCCUAUCAGAUGCGCCUGUGUCGGAUUCGCUAGUUGGGGGGGUAAAGGCCUACCAAGGCGACGAUCCGUAACUGGUCUGAGAGGAUGAUCAGUCACACUGGAACUGAGACACGGUCCAGACUCCUACGGGAGGCAGCAGUGGGGAAUAUUGGACAAUGGGCGAAAGCCUGAUGCAGCCAUGCCGCGUGUGUGAAGAAGGUCUUCGGAUUGUAAAGCACUUUAAGUUGGGAGGCGUUACCAACAGAAUAAGCACCGGCUAACUUCGUGCCAGCAGCCGCGGUAAUAC